rnacentral:rRNA from 1 species
ACUCCUACGGGAGGCAGCAGUGGGAAUAUUGCACAAUGGGGGAAACCCUGAUGCAGCCAUGCCGCGUGUGUGAAGAAGGCCUUCGGGUUGUAAAGCACUUUCAGUAGGGAGGAAGGUAGUGUAGUUAACACCUGCACUAUUUGACGUUACCUACAGAAGAAGCACCGGCUAACUCCGUGCCAGCAGCCGCGGUAAUACGGAGGGUCCAAGCGUUGUCCGGAUUUAUUGGGUUUAAAGGGUGCGUAGGCGGCCCUAUAAGUCAGUGGUGAAAUCCUUCAGCUCAACUGGAGAACUGCCAUUGAUACUGUAGGGCUUGAGUACAGACGAGGUAGGCGGAAUUUAUGGUGUAGCGGUGAAAUGCAUAGAUACCAUAAAGAACACCUAUUGCGAAGGCAGCUUACUAGACUGUAACUGACGCUGAGGCACGAAAGCGU